CUGCGUGGUUUUAACGAAACCUGGUGCGGUUGGGUCAAACAAAUUCUUUAUAAGGGCACGGUCAGCAUUAAGCUGAAUAAUUGUGUGGGCCCCUACUUCCAGAGUGCAAAAGGGGUGUGAUAGGGUGAUCCACACUCUCCAUUCCUGUUUAAUCUUGCUGUUGAGUGCCUAACCAAAAUGAUCAAAAAUGCCCAGAAAAAUAAGCUAAUCACGGGAUUAGCUUCUGACCUGAUUCAGUAUGGGGUUGCGGUGUUGCAAUAUGCGGACGAUACUAUCAUCUAUUUAGAGCAUAACAUAGAUAAAGCAGUUAACCUGAAGUUGCUGCUUUACACUUUUGAAAUGAUGUCCAGACUCAAGGUGAAUUUUCAAAAAAGUGAGAUCCUCACGGUGGGUGGGGAUGACAAUGUUGUUAGAGAAUAUGCUGAUUUAUUCAGCUGUGAUAUUGGGAGCUUUCCUAUUAAGUACUUAGGGAUGCCUGUGAGCUACACCAAUCUUCGUAAUUCUGACUGGAUAUUCAUUGUGGUUAAGUAUCUUAAAAGAUUCGAAGCCUGGAUUGGUAAUGCCACAUCUAUGGGGGGCAGGCUUACCCUGCUUGACUCAGUACUUACUGAACUAUCCAUCUUCCACAUGUCUAUGUGGCUCAUGAAUAAAACAUUCAUCGAAAAGUUGGAUAAACACAGACGUAGAUUUUUCUGGCAAGGGUGCAAUAAGAAGAAGAGAUAUCACCUUGUCAAGUGGGAUAGGAUUUGCAGAUCCAGAGACAAAGGAGGCCUUGGGGUUAAAGACCUUAGAAAAUAA
rnacentral:rRNA from 1 species